rnacentral:rRNA from 1 species
AUCCAGGAGAAGUCUGACGGAGCANCGCCGCGUGAGGUGAUGAAGGUUUUCGGAUCGUAAAACUCUGUUUGUUAGGGAAGAACAAGUACCGUUCGAAUAGGGCGGUACCAUUGACGGUACCUAACCAGAAAGCCACGGCUAACUACGUGCCAGCAGCCGCGGUAAUACGA